rnacentral:rRNA from 1 species
CGACCGGCGCACGGGUGAGUAACGCGUAUGCAACCUGCCCGAUACCGGGGUAUAGCCCAUGGAAACGUGGAUUAACACCCCAUAGUACUUUUAUCCUGCAUGGGAUGUGAGUUAAAUGUUCAAGGUAUCGGAUGGGCAUGCGUCCUAUUAGUUAGUUGGCGGGGUAACAGCCCACCAAUACGAUGAUAGGUAGGGGUUCUGAGAGGAAGGUCCCCCACAUUGGAACUGAGACACGGUCCAA